GCGGGUAUGCCAGAGCGGUCAAAUGGGUAAGAUUAAGACUCUUAUGGCUCAGUGCCUACAAAGGUUCGAAUCCUUUUACCCGCA
rnacentral:tRNA from 1 species